rnacentral:rRNA from 1 species
CAGCAGCCGCGGUAAUACGUAGGUGGCAAGCGUUGUCCGGAAUUAUUGGGCGUAAAGGGCUCGCAGGCGGUUUCUUAAGUCUGAUGUGAAAGCCCCCGGCUCAACCGGGGAGGGUCAUUGGAAACUGGGAAACUUGAGUGCAGAAGAGGAGAGUGGAAUUCCACGUGUAGCGGUGAAAUGCGUAGAGAUGUGGAGGAACACCAGUGCGAAGGCGACUCUCUGGUCUGUAACUGACGCUGAGGAGCGAAAGCGUGGGGAGCGAACAGGAUUAGAUACCCCCGUAGUCCCUGUCUCUUAUACA